ensembl:lncRNA
CAGCUGUAGAGAAAUGAAAAUACAGAAGCCCCCGCGCCCGCCCGCCCGCGCAUGCAUUCCAGCACCCGUCACCUCGGAGGCGGCAGGACGUGGGCUCUGGACCCGGCUCUGCGGCAGCCGCUGCCCGGAACACCCUGUCGUCCCCCACAAGCCUCCCUGUCCCGCGCUCCCGAUUCCCCUUUCAGGAAUUUACAAACAUUUUCCGCAGAUCAAUAUCUGUAUUGAUUAUUCAUUGUGUGCGAGUCGUGUGUCUUUGGUGAUCCAACCUGGCAGAGUGAGCAGCCAAAGGCUGCUGCAGUUGCACACAAAAAAAUCCACAGAAGGCGAGAGGGACCCAGACCUCGCCGGGCUUACCGCUGCCAGCCACGGAGACGGAUGGAGAGGAAGGAAGAAAGAAAAUGGGGAAGUCGGAAGGAGGAAUGAGGGAACGAGGGAGCCAAGGAGAGAAAGCAAGAGCAGGAAAACAAAGUCACCGCUGGAGAACUGGUGCCGGGGCAUGCUGGCAGCCUGGAGAAAUUUCCAGCCUUGUGCUCGCCGUUCUGCACGCAGAUGUGGUGGACUUAAUGCUCUGGGAGCAAAAAGUGACUCACAGUUUUGGUAUCUGCUACGUAAGAGCAUUGGGGGGAUUCCUUGGCUGGCUGACAGAAAAGGAAGAAAGCAGCAGCAGAGGUACAAAACGAUUCCUUCCUCCUGCCUUCCUGGGAAUGCGGCUCAUCCGGGCUGGCUGGAGCAGCUCCCUGCUCUCUUAUGAUAUGCAAAAGGAGAAUAAUUAAAAGCGCCAGCAUCACUCGCAAAGUGAGUAAACACAAAGCCUUUCAAAACAUGCUCUUCAGCUAAUGAGAAGCUGUAAUUUCUUAUACUUAAAGGCAAAAAAGACACUGAUGAGACUCAGUGGAGUGUGUGUGCAUGCGCGCCUGCCUGUGUGUGCAUGUGUUUGUAGAUACGAGAGAAUCGGUUAAUUGUUGAUGAUGUUUAGAAAAGGGAUUAUGAGAAAAGACACUGAAAUGAUGACAGGAAACAUCUUGGAUCAGAGCCAAAGAAAUAAAAUAAUCAAGGACAAUCAAGCCUGCGGCUCCGGAAAGCGCCGACUGCUCUGCCGGGGACUUGGAAGGAAUUUCCCCGUGCUGCUGAGCUGCAGCUGGAAUACGUGCUUGGCACCAGGAGGGAGAACUGCAAGAAGCAGUUUGCUUAGAGCAUGAAACAACAGAAGGCAGAACUAUGGAGCUGUGCUAUAAUUCAGAGGUUAAACAGCUUUGUCUGCUUCUAUCUCGGACGGAGUCUCAUUUUUACCCACAUCUGACCUGGUCUCUGAAAAUGCAACUUCUGAAGCCCUCUGAAUGCAAGCAGAAGCUGACGAUUCUCCAUAUGCCUUUCCAGAACUGCUGUGACAUUACAAAAACAAAGAAAAGGGAGCUUGAGGAAUUAAGUUCUCUUGUGGCUGCAGGAUCUGCUGGACCUUACCAUGUGAACUGACUCUGGAAACAAUUCCUUCCUUAAUUCUGGAAAUUGGAAACCACUUACGCCAGCAUCUGCAGGAAGCUUUUCGGAUGACUCCAGAUGUUCAUGAACAAGAAUGAAAGGCAGAGAUGCAAAACCUACAAUGAAAACAAAUGAUACGUUUAAACGGUGUUCAGGCUGAAAGGUGGGGUCUUGAGGUGCUGGGGCCAGAAGAGACGAAAAUCCUGCAGGCUGCACAACGCCCAGAAACACACAGCGUCCCCUCCAGUGCCAGGGCUCACGUGAGAGCGCUCCGUGCCGGCGGUCUGCGUCAGGAUGCUGCAGCGUUGGCUGUGCAGAGACUCAAAGAGAUGCCAGUAAUUGGCCAGAAGAGAAGCCUUAAUUGUCCCUGCUCUGGCUGCUGUUAAUGUUAUAAUUACUACUAUCACUACUAAUGAACUUUAAUUAGAAAAAAGCCGCAGUGCCUGCAAGCACCAACUUCUAAAAUCCUUUGAGUCCCCAUCCAGCAUCCUUUGCCCCUGUGAGCAGGGCUGGCUGUGAUGUGGGGCUGUGGGUGUGGGGUGGGGCAGUGGGUGCUCACACGGCUUCCUCUGGCAUGGCGCUGGUUACACAAACAGCUGUACAGAUGUUGAGCUGUCACACGGUUCAGGAGAAUAAAGCAAUUUAAC